GGGGAGCUGUAGAAGCGGUA
rnacentral:miRNA from 1 species